UCAACGGCUCGCGGAGCGGCUACGCGGAGUGACAUCGCCGGUGUUUGCGGGUGGUUGUUGCUCUCGGGGCCGUGUGGAGUAGGUCUGGACCUGGACUCACGGCUGCUUGGAGCGUCCGCCAUGAGGAGAAGGAACUCCUGGAUAUGAUGAUUGCUGAAGAGGAAAGCCUGAAGGAAAGACUCAUCAAAAGCAUAUCCGUCUGUCAGAAAGAGCUGAACACUCUGUGCAGCGAGUUACAUGUUGAGCCAUUUCAGGAAGAAGGAGAGACAACCAUCUUGCAACUAGAAAAAGAUUUGCGCACCCAAGUGGAAUUGAUGCGAAAACAGAAAAAGGAGAGAAAACAGGAACUGAAGCUACUUCAAGAGCAAGAUCAAGAACUGUGCGAAAUUCUUUGUAUGCCCCACUAUGAUAUUGACAGUGCCUCAGUGCCCAGCUUAGAAGAGCUGAACCAGUUCAGGCAACAUGUGACAACUUUGAGGGACACAAAGGUACACUGCCUACAUUUGUUCUUCCUAAAAGUCACUUUGGUUUUCCUCUAGGUAUCUUGUAAUUGCUUUGUUUUAAAGGCUUCUAGGCGUGAGGAGUUUGUCAGUAUAAAGAGACAGAUCAUACUGUGUAUGGAAGAAUUAGACCACACCCCAGACACAAGCUUUGAAAGAGAUGUGGUGUGUGAAGACGAAGAUGCCUUUUGUUUGUCUUUGGAGAAUAUUGCAACACUACAAAAGUUGCUACGGCAGGUACUGUCUUCUCAAAUUAUGCCCUAGGAUCUCCGUAGUAUAUAGCAGUUUGAACAAAACUGACAGCUGUUUCUUCAGUCUUAAAUAAGGAGACAAUGUAAGGUAAGAGAAUGAGGGAAGCUAAGGAUAGUAAUAUAUGAUAUACAACCUUGAUUUUUGUUUAACAGUUAAAAAACCUUUAUAUGGCUCCAAGAAAAUGAAAUUAUAGAUGAAAUAAUAUUAGUCAUUUGAAUUAGACUAGUGUUUAAUUAAAAUUUUUUUCAGUUCUAAAUUUGAAUGCUAAUUCUUGGGGUCUGAGAUCCCGACAGCCUUACAGCUCGUGUUUAGGAGGCAUGAAAACACGCUACUUUGAACUCUCAUGAAAGUGCCUCCUCCUCUACUCCAGACAUUUCUUUGCGGGAGGCUAGAGGACUAGCCUCUGUGCUGCUGCUUUGCCGUGAGUGACACUGGCUUUCUAUGCUGUAGCUGGAAAUGCAGAAAUCACAAAAUGAAGCAGUGUGUGAGGGGCUGCGUACUCAAAUCCGAGAGCUCUGGGACAGGUUGCAAAUACCUGAAG
rnacentral:sRNA from 1 species